rnacentral:lncRNA from 1 species
CGGUGGAGAAUCAUAGGGAUUGUGGAAAGGUGAUGGUGCAUGAUGAGGAGGCAUAUGUAGAGGAAACGCAGGAGGUGGCUGCUGUUGAUGCUGAAGUUGAGGAGGCAGUGUAUGUGGAUGGAGUUGUGGUUGCUGAAUGGGGCGAGGGUAAGGGAACUGUUGAAGAGAAGAAUGUGGAGGCAGAAAUGGAGGACCAUGAACUGAACGAGGAAAUUGUUGAUGCUGGGGAUGAAAACCAAACUGUUGUUGCUGUUGCAUGCUAGCUGCUUGGUGCUGCUGCUGAGAAAAAGCCAUAGCAGCAUAAUCAUGAGCUUGUCGAUCCAUCACCACUAAAGAGAAUAGCAGGACAUGAAUGCAGGAGCAGUUUGAAACACUCUAAUAACCUGUACAAAAUAACAUACAAAUAAAUGGCCUGCAUUCCAGUUUUGGGCAAACCUUAAGAAAAUAAUCUUGUGCAAUACGAACAAAAAAUGAGCAUUUACUACCUCUAACUAAGUUAACAGGUAUCCGCCAAAGUUUUAGUACCAAAAAACAGCCUUAGCGAUGAGUAGCCAUGAGCACUACACCUUAGAGACUGCUGUUGCACUAGUCCUGAGACUGUUUUUAUGUCUACCUAUUUCUCUUCGAGUUCAGCCAUUCUUGAUUGCAUAAUGCUUCAGUAUCUACAUCAGAAUUUAAAAGAGAACAGAGUCUGCGCACUGAUGAGUAAAUAUUUAAGCACAAUAAGAGAGGGAAACUAUCCGGAGCCGAGGCUCUAUUGGAAACAACCUCUCUAUCCUCACAAGGUAGCGGUAAGGUCUGCGUACACACUACCCUUCCCAGACCCCACGGUGUGGGAUAAUACUGGGUAUGUUGUUUAUGUUGUUGUUGUUGUAAGAGGGAAAAUAACUAAGUUCCGUGGACUCUUCAUUUGUUGUGCUGCAUCCGUGUCGACACCACUUCAACACUAGUAUGGGUGUGCAAUACGUACCGGAUUUGGUCAAUUAACAUUGGGUAUUUUGACCACAAAUUACAGGGAAAUUAAAAAUAAGAUUUGGCAUUGAUUUUUCUUUUUGACAAAGGUAACAUUAAUGUGUUAAAAAGCCCAGCACAAGGUUGUACUAGUAACCAUUUACAGAUUCCAAAAGAAGCAAAAACGUAUCCUUGUUCUUCUUACAAGGAUUCUAUAACGUCUAAAAUGGAUUCUUCAUCAUUCAAAUAAGAUUUGGCAUCGAUUUCUCAAGACAAAAGCUACUAUAGAUUUCUAGAUAGCAACCUAAUAAAAGAUUGAGUUACUACACUCUACAAGCUACAUGUAAGUUUUCCACAAGAUAUCUCAUAAUUUAGGCAUAUUAUUAUAGAUCUAUUUUUAGAUAUAGACGAAUUCCCACACCGGUAUUCAUACCUGAAUUCGUAUCUCCGAAUCGUAAAAUUUAGACCAUGAAGGAUCCGGCCUCUAGAUUUGCACCCGUAUCGGAUACCCGCACGUGUAUCCGACCAAAUUAGGAAUAAUGCAGGAGAAAGUUUAUCAGCAGAACAGCAAGUCCAACAAUAGCUUCAUGCCCGAUUAACAGAAAAUAAAAAUCCAUGCACAAAUCAAGCACAGAGAUCCUGUUAGAAACAAUCCAAAGUACUACAGAAAGCAAGUGAAACUGAGUGAAACUGACACCACAGCAGUUCCUGACUGCAUGUGUAAGAACCAGCCCAGCAGAAAGGAACAUGAAGCUUAUCAGAGGGAUACAUUGUGGAAUAUUCAUAAAUAAGAAUAAGGAAUGAAAGGGUAAAAUCCAACUAGAUCGGAAGUUUUACCAACAAUUAAAAAGGCGAACAAACAAGCUUCUCAUCCUUUCUCUCAAAAAGAUUAUUAUUAAUUUUUAUUAUUUUUUGGCUUCUCUCUGUCAAAACAAAAAAAAAUCCCAUCCUUAUGGUGCACAGGUGCAGUGAUACCCUAGUGUGGAACCUUUGAUAAGCAAUUUAUAACACCUAAACAGCCACUACUGACAGAUUCAUUCUCCCAUGCUUAUGCCUAUUUUUAUGGCACCAUCAUCUUCAACCAUCUUUUACUGGCCAGGAUUAGUCCUCAAGGUGACAGAUUCUAGAAAACCAACUUGCCACUUCACAACUUAUGCAAUCGUCCCAUGCCAACGGUCAGGAAGUUCAUAAACAUGGCUGGAAGGUGUAAAAAUAAGGUUUGACAUCGGAAGAAUGCAUCUGCACUAGUAAAUGACCAGGAAACCAAAGUAUUAGCAAAUACAACAGUCCCAUCGCUCUAGACUUGGAUGUUUGAAAAACUUUGUAUUAUUACCCCUCCACAUUUUAAAACAUUGUUGUCCAAUCAACUUGUCAAUGUAAUUAAACCUCCGAAGCAUGUUUGAAGAACUUUGUAUUCUUACCCCCGUUUGAACCAUAAGCAUAAUGGUACUCUCUCUGUGGUUCCUCCAUCACUCCCCAACCAUAGGCACUUUAACUUCUACCUAUAACAGAGCUCUUUAUACUUAUCUACGUCAUGGAACUACAUUUCUAAACCUACUUUUCAAGAAAGUUCCUCAAUUGAUAUGCUCUAUACUUAGACUUGGAUGUCCCAUCAACCAAUUCACCAGGUACCUGCUACCUAUGUUGCACGGACUCUUCAAAAUGGUGUCGUACCAAUGUCAGAUCCUCCAAAAAUGCACUAUUUUUGGAGGAUCCGGCACGCACUCUGCAACAUUUUCGAAGAGUCCGAGCAACAUAGCCUGCUACCUCUUACCAAUACAUACAUCGAUUAAUUCUAUCUACCAAGGCUUAACCAAAUGGAAAGAAGUCACAUAGCCUUUUUUGUUACUCAUAUACUAGGUUUAUGGCUAGAAGGUAUUUUCUAAGGGUGUUUAGUGUUAGCCACAGCUCAAUGUUUAAGCAUGUUCUAGGUCUAAAUGUAUAUAACAUUAAAUUCUAGAUAGCUCAAACUGUAGGUGGCAUAAUCAUAAAUUGAAUGAACCCUCAGGGGUUGGCCUGGUGGCAAUUGACUUGAGCCUUGGGGUUUGCUCCCUUUCAAGGUCUCAAGUUCGAAACUCACUGGGUGCAAACAAUUUUUGAGGGCCAUCGGACUGGGUAAAACCUGAAUUAACCGUGGUGCACUUGCGGGAAACUCCUUUCCGAGGGCCUGUGCACCCCCGGGAAUAGUCGGGUCUCGAAGAGACUCGGACACCCGGUGCAAAAUCAAAAAAAAUAAUCAUAAAUUGAAUGGCAUUUGGUCAAAAUCCAACAACAAGCACUUCAAUAAACAGUUAAGACUAUAACUCAGCAUUUUCCUGAUGAUAUUUUCUAAGUAACCCGUGAGAGCUUUCAUCAAAUAUAACACAUUCAAGCACUGAUCCUCGGUAGCAAACGUGAAAGCUCACCUAGGUUCAGCAUCAUCCCUUGCUGUAAUAGAAGUUUGAUUCAACCCAUAAAUGGAAGUGCAAAUUUGAACUACAGAAAGUAGGAUUGAAGUCUUUUUUAUACAUUUAAAAGUAUUACAACCAAACUUACAAGUCGAUUGCGUUCGGAGAAAGAGAAUGCCGAUGAGUUCGCAGCCGAAGGAGAUUGAAUUGACGGAUGGGUCGAACACCUUUCUCGUUUUUCAGGAAAAAAUAAAUCAAUUAAAACCAAUUCUGUUGUUUUCACGUUGGAGG